GAUGAACGCUAGCGGCAGGCCUAACACAUCAAGUCGAGGGAGAAGCCUUUCGGGGCAGAAACCGGCGCACGGGUGCGUAACGCGUAUGCAACCUACCUUUCACAGGGGGAUAGCCCGAAGAAAUUUGGAUUAAUACCCCAUAAUAUUGUUGGAUGGCAUCAUCUGACAAUUAAAACUGCGGUGGUGAAAGAUGGGCAUGCGUCCUAUUAGCUAGUUGGAGUGGUAACGGCACCCCAAGGCUACGAUAGGUAGGGGUCCUGAGAGGGAGAUCCCCCACACUGGUACUGAGACAGGGACCAGACUCCUACGGGAGGCAGCAGUGAGGAAUAUUGGUCAAUGGUCGGAAGACUGAACCAGCCAUGCCGCGUGCAGGAAGAAUGCCUUAUGGGUUGUAAACUGCUUUUAUAUGGGAAGAAUAAAGGUGUAU
rnacentral:rRNA from 1 species